GAGAGAGGCCUGUAGCAAUAGAGACUGCUAAUCUUUAUCACCACAGUUAAAAUCUAUGGCUCACUCG
rnacentral:tRNA from 1 species